rnacentral:rRNA from 1 species
GUUUGAUCCUGGCUCAGAUUGAACGCUGGCGGCAGGCUUAACACAUGCAAGUCGAGCGGAAACGAUGAUAGCUUGCUAUCAGGCGUCGAGCGGCGGACGGGUGAGUAAUACUUAGGAAUCUACCUAGUAGUGGGGGAUAGCACGGGGAAACUCGUAUUAAUACCGCAUACGACCUACGGGAGAAAGGGGGCAGUUUACUGCUCUCGCUAUUAGAUGAGCCUAAGUCGGAUUAGCUAGAUGGUGGGGUAAAGGCCUACCAUGGCGACGAUCUGUAGCUGGUCUGAGAGGAUGAUCAGCCACACCGGGACUGAGACACGGCCCGGACUCCUACGGGAGGCAGCAGUGGGGAAUAUUGGACAAUGGGGGAAACCCUGAUCCAGCCAUGCCGCGUGUGUGAAGAAGGCCUUUUGGUUGUAAAGCACUUUAAGCAGUGAAGAAGACUCCGUGGUUAAUACCCACGGACGAUGACAUUAGCUGCAGAAUAAGCACCGGCUAACUCUGUGCCAGCAGCCGCGGUAAUACAGAGGGUGCAAGCGUUAAUCGGAAUUACUGGGCGUAAAGGGAGCGUAGGUGGCUCGAUAAGUCAGAUGUGAAAUCCCCGGGCUCAACCUGGGAACUGCAUCUGAUACUGUUGAGCUAGAGUAUGUGAGAGGAAGGUAGAAUUCCAGGUGUAGCGGUGAAAUGCGUAGAGAUCUGGAGGAAUACCGAUGGCGAAGGCAGCCUUCUGGCAUAAUACUGACACUGAGGCUCGAAAGCGUGGGUAGCAAACAGGAUUAGAUACCCUGGUAGUCCACGCCGUAAACGAUGUCUACUAGUCGUUGGGUCCCUUGAGGACUUAGUGACGCAGCUAACGCAAUAAGUAGACCGCCUGGGGAGUACGGCCGCAAGGUUAAAACUCAAAUGAAUUGACGGGGGCCCGCACAAGCGGUGGAGCAUGUGGUUUAAUUCGAUGCAACGCGAAGAACCUUACCUGGUCUUGACAUAUCUAGAAUCCUGCAGAGAUGCGGGAGUGCCUUCGGGAAUUAGAAUACAGGUGCUGCAUGGCUGUCGUCAGCUCGUGUCGUGAGAUGUUGGGUUAAGUCCCGCAACGAGCGCAACCCUUGUCCUUAGUUACCAGCGGGUUAAGCCGGGAACUCUAAGGAUACUGCCAGUGACAAACUGGAGGAAGGCGGGGACGACGUCAAGUCAUCAUGGCCCUUACGACCAGGGCUACACACGUGCUACAAUGGUAGGUACAGAGGGCAGCUACACAGCGAUGUGAUGCGAAUCUCAAAAAGCCUAUCGUAGUCCAGAUUGGAGUCUGCAACUCGACUCCAUGAAGUAGGAAUCGCUAGUAAUCGCGGAUCAGAAUGCCGCGGUGAAUACGUUCCCGGGCCUUGUACACACCGCCCGUCACACCAUGGGAGUUGAUUGCACCAGAAGUGGAUAGCUUAACCUUCGGGGAGGCGUUCACCACGGUGUGGUUGAUGACUGGGGUGAAGUCGUAACAAGGUAGCCGUAGGGGAACCUGCGGCUGG